UACGAAGGGGGCUAGCGUUGCUCGGAAUCACUGGGCGUAAAGCGCACGUAGGCGGAUCGUUAAGUCAGGGGUGAAAUCCUGGAGCUCAACUCCAGAACUGCCUUUGAUACUGGCGAUCUUGAGUUCGAGAGAGGUGAGUGGAACUGCGAGUGUAGAGGUGAAAUUCGUAGAUAUUCGCAAGAACACCAGUGGCGAAGGCGGUCUGCUGGGCCAAGACUGACGCUGAGGCGCGACAGCGUGGGGAGCAAACAGG
rnacentral:rRNA from 1 species